UUAAAGAAAGUUGAUUAUUCAGCUCAUGUGUUUUACGUGAUGGACGUAGUUUGGUCGUUAGUUAUAUUAAUAUUUACAGUCAUAGAGGUAUCCCCGUAUAAUUUAACUAUUACCUUUCCCAUGUGGUGCACCCGAUACUUUAGUACGUGCACAUUUAAUGUCAAUUUUAACUUCGAUUUCUAUUAAAUCUGAAUGUCACUUCAAUACCGGAGAUGGAAAAAGGCAUGGAAGUUUCAUAUUCAAAGGCCUUGGACCUUUCUGCAGUAAAAAGUUUAGAAAAAACACUUCAAAAGGAGUUCAAUCAGGAAUAUAUGAUUUACAAUCAACUAUUGAGAACCAGUCAAGAGGUAAUAAAAAAUAUAGGGAGUGAGGAUUUGGAUAUGGGGACUGACCUGAUUAGACUAAAGAACGCAGUAGACCGUCGAAGAUCCGUUCGCUGGAGGUCUGAAGUCGGCAAAAGACGUUCUCGUUCACAGGCCUUACGGAGACAAAAGUUGAACAGCCAGAGUCUGAGGAGUCACCUUCAACAUUCGAAACAGGCUUCAUCAAGAGUGGAAAAUUAAAGAAAUAGUUUAUUUCCUAAUUUGUGUUACCUAUCAGCGAUGUUAGUUCGGUUUAUAGAAACUUAGCAGCACUGCUGAGGGUACGCAAACCUCAACUUCUAGAAGUUUCCAAAUUUAUCAAAAAUAGGAUUGUUGAAUGAGAUUUACAACUGUGAUUAAUCUCGUAAGGGUUUGAAUGCAAACUUAACCGCUAUUAUCUCUUCUGAAAAGUAUUUUGUGAAAAUAAGAAUUUAGGUAUCCGUAUUUAUAAGAUAUUAGGGAAUCUAUGCCUUGGUUGUCUUGGUAGUGACAUUCAGACUAGAAUAAUUUUUCAGUAAUUUUAUAUCUACGAUCAUAAAAGAAAUAAAGAUUAAGAAAACAAAACUGUUCCAACCACCUUCUUGUUUUGAUCCACGCUUUCUAGAAUAUUCUCAAAAAUUUUUCGGACGUACUUAUUAGUUAAAUUAUUAAAAUUUUAAACUCGCUCCUUAAUCUGAGUAUAUUUAUUUUGUAUAAUUUUAUACUGUCUUUAAUGAACCUUAAAAAAACUUUGUCAAUUUUACUACUUGUUAUGUAUGUUAUGCGGAAAUAUUUUAAAAGGAGCUAAAAUAUUUUAAAAGGAGAUUUAUGGUUACAGCUUACAUAGAAAUACGAUUCAAAGUAAAAAUGUUUUGUUUACUUUUUUUUGUGUAUGUUACUAAAAUAAGAGACGUUCAUAGAAUUUAUGCAAUAUAUUUUAUUGCAAUAACUUUUUUAACGGAUUAUUUUGUGGUAAUUUUUAAAAAAAGUUUAUUCUUUAUUAUUGUAUGGAUUAACCCGUUAUCGGAUUUCAGCGAAUUAACGUCCAUAGAUUCGAUUUUCUGACGCGGAAUAAAAUUUCUAACUGUC